GUGCCUGUUUUGGCAGCACGUCCCCUAAAAUUGGAAAGAUACAGAGAUUAGUGAGGCCUCAGUGCAAGAAUGACAGAGAUUCAUGAAGAAUUCCAUAUUUUU
ensembl:snRNA U6 U6 spliceosomal RNA